ACUGUAACAUAAAAAUCAACAACAAAUGCAAAAAACUGUUUGCUGAAUUUUUUGUAUUUCACCAUAUGCAAAUAAGACCUUAAUUUUAUACACAAACAAAGCAAGAAACCUACUGAAUUCAGCUAAUCCAUGAACAUGGAUAAUCACCAAAAGACUCAAGGUAAAAAGAUUACAAACAAAACUUACAUACAAAACAAACUUUUGCUUUUAUUUUUAUUUUUUUAGUAUGUACCACUGGCACAAGCACUGUGAAAAUCAGCCUGAAUGAGGAAGUUUGGAAGUUUCUAAUAAGAUAGAUUUUAAAGGCUUAAUUUCACUUCAAAUAAAGGAAACAAGCAGACGACACAUGAGCUUUACUACAGCAUUCCAAACCAGCGAAUCGACAGGGCCUAUGUAGCCUCCACAGGAUUAUUUCUCCAAGCAGGACGUCCUCUCCUUGGCAUGACCCCAAGGGAGAGGCGCUGGGGAGGCUGCGUGUAACUGGAGAGGGGCACUCACAGAGACCUUCCCCAGUACGUGGCAGGAGAAGAAAGUGGCAGCGAGCGUCACACACCGUGUCACACACUGCAGCCUCCCGAACUCCUUCGUGUCACCGCUUCCCAGAGGUGCUGCAGUCAAAAACAAGCCCGCACCCCCGAAUGGCAUCCCCGGGAACCAAGAGCAGAGGCUGGCGAGGUGCGAGCUGGAAGAAGAGUUUAACUGGCACAGCCCGACCCCUCCUAGGAGCAAGGUGACGGCGGAGAUGGAAACACGGGCAUUUCCAAGCAAGAUAGGGGACGGGGGCGCUGAAAAGGAAGGGAAAAGGAACCACACAAGGAAGACAUGCCAGAAGCAAGAACAACGGCUGCGAGGCCGCGCACCAAAGGUGUGACUUAUCCUUCCAGUUUCAAAAUGAAGACGGUUUUGACCUUAUACAUCAAAAGAAGAAAUGUCACAUGGCUGACAAUACUGAAGGACUUCUAGAAAGACUGAGGCAGCUGCUGCUGCUAUCUAGAGUCUUGUACACAGCUGUAUGGAGAACUUUAUUAUCUGAAUGUUUUAAAUUGUCUGAUUUCCUCUUGGCUGUGAAAACUCAUCCAGCUGGGGUGGACUGUAAACAUGCCUGGAUUUUUGUCUGAUCACCAGUGCCACCACCUGGCUCUGACUGUCAGCACAAGGUGGUUGUAAGCCCAACUCAAAAUCUUAAAAACAAUAGUUCUUGGAAAUGACACAUUCACCUCUUCUUUAUUUUGUUAGACAUACAAGAAAAGAUAACACUCUUGGCUAUAACCAGUCAAAUUCCUAAUAAGUCCAAUAUAAACUCAGGUUUGUAUAGGCUCAGCCUCAUUCAAUAUCUGACCUACAAUUGAAGAAACUACACAAGGAAUGUACUUGUAGAUGAAUGAAUGUAGAAUUCCAGCAGAUAUCCAGAGGUUUUGCUAAAUCUCCAGAAAUAGAUUCAAUCAUAUUCAAAGUUUAAAAUUAUGAGAUUUCUUGCUAAAGUCAGAGUAAGAUUUUUAACACAGGAUCAAGGCCCUCUCUGAAAAGCUAUAUUUAAAACUAUAAAGAAGCAGGGGAAAGGUACAUUACAAAUGAGAUAGAAGGAGCCAAGAACUUUUAACAGACAAGCAGGACAAAUAAAGCAUCCUGUUUGAGGCCAAAUAUAGCAUCCAGGAAGGCUCAGGCAUGAUGAAUAGACAUGAAUUUGCUUUAUUAUAAAUUUACCACAUCCACGCAGUGACAAUGGUACAAUCUGAUUUAUUUCCCAGACCUUGUAAGCUCUGCUGGUUGAUACUUUAUAGUUGAAAAACAUCAGGAGAGAGGGUCUUGCCAAGAACAUCAGAGUUAGAAACUGAAAGCCCCUGCCAAGGCCAUGAGUCCAGAGGGUAGGAAAUUUCCAAGAUAAAAUUUAUCAGCAGCUUAAAAAGCACCCCAGUACCUGUGGGGAAAAACACCCUGAGCUUUCCAGAGCACUUUUAGUUGAAGACAGGAAGGAAGACAGGAAGGAAGACAGGAAGGAAGAGCCCACCUAGUAUGGUAGAUGAGUAAACAGGUUUAGCUGAUGAAUCAGCCAUGGUUAGAGCAAAAAAAACUGACUUUGAAGCAGAGUGACAAUAAUCUUUCAGUGGUGUCUACACUGCUUUACAUUGCACAUCUUAUACAUGGUGAAUUCUCUCUGCAGGAGUACCAUCAUGGUACUCUCUGGACAAACUGCAGGUUGCUAAAGGGACCCUCAGGCAUAGCUAACAACAUGAAACUAUUCACUCACCCAUUUGUAAUAUUAACAGGUUAUUCCACCACUUCUCCCAGCCAUACAGAAAAGUCUUUCCAGGGUCCUUCCCUGAAGGUGCUCUGGUGUAUCUCCUGCAAGGAUUCUACCAUAUGUCCCAGCAAAGAGACAUUUGGUAUGUGCACUCUCAGGCCUACAUAGAUGCAAUUUUCUACAAAAUACAGUAUGAGCAUUCAUCACUAUUGUACCAUCUCUUCCCAGCCAGUGAAGGCUGGUAGAUGAAAGGUUCAAUGAAAGCAAAAGGAUUUUGUUUGCAGAAAAUGAUCUUUCACAUAGCUAAGUUGUGGAGCACCUUGCCACAGAUGCUUCAAAUGAUGAAAAUUUACAUGGGCUCAAGAGGAGUCUUGGUAGGUUAAGAAAGAGAAACAAGAACAAGGUUAGUAAAUAUACAGAAGCCACCUCUGCCUUGACAAGUCACAGAUGGCUGUAGAAUAGUAGUCAAAAACCCUGUCAUGAUUUCUUGCCUACUGUAUUCCAGACAUCCAUUCUGGACCUCCAGGUACUAUCCUAGAUGGAUAAGGAAUAGACACUUUUAUAGUCUUCUGAUUCAGAGUCCCCUGGGACUGAGUACACACAGAAGUUUUAUCGAAGCUGAAGCACAAUCCACCUUCACCCACCGAAGGGUUGCCCAAAGUUACUUAGUGUUAAUGACAAAGCUACAAAUAAAACAGAAUUGUCUCAGCACCUUCUCUCAUUCCAAUGACCCAGUCCUGUCUGUACACAGCAAAUAAAUAAUUAACAAGCAAUGAAGUCAGAACACCUGUAGUACAGCUCUAAUUUGUCCUAUUGCUCUUGCACACUAUUCUUGCCACAUGUAAAUAUGAUCAGAGGUUAUUUACAUUUCAACAUAAAAACUAUGUAUCACACUUUGCCUAAUUUCCACUAAUAAUGCUUAUGAAGCCAUAAAAUUACAGCAAGCGAUGAUUUGUGGUAAAAGACAGCCAUUUAAUGGAAACAUGUGGUGUCAUAGGAAUAAUUCUGCUGAAAUAAAAGUGAGGAAACAGUUAACAGUGUUACAUUUUCAGCUUAAAAGUAAGAAAAGAAAAAUCUCUCAAGUUUAAGUUUCAGCCAGGUUGCUGGCAGGGCUUUGGUGUCAUGCACUGCUGUCACAUUCCACCCAGCUUCUGAAUGCCAGCUUUGCAAUGUAAAAUAUUUAAAUAUUUUAAUAUUGAAUAUUUAAAUAUUCCAUCUUCCAAUUCAUAUUUCUGCUAAGAAAACGCAAAUUUAUAGAAAAUUCCACAGCCAGGGAGCCAUGUGUAUGAAAGAUGGAUGUUUUCUGCUUGUGUAGCUGCUUUUCAAUAAGCUGUUGUACACUGUGUGCUCUUCUAACCUGCUUUCCCUAUGUGUGCUCUUCUUAGGGAACAGCGGUGUAGUCGUUUUAAUCUGACAUAAAUCUGGCCUGUCUCUAACAUGGUUAUUCCCACCAUUCUUGUUCCCAGCUGCUCUGACUCACUGCCUCCCUCACUUAUGCACCUGAGCUGUAAAUUGCAUCAGGGCUCGCAUCCUACUAAAAACAUAAUCUCUCUACCAGUUUGCUGAGUCAAGUUUGGCUUUGUGCUGUGUUUAAUCUGAUCUAACUCUGUCCUGUCCCCUCCCUCCCUGUGCCACCCACAGCAUGCCAGAAAACAGAUUAAUAAAGAAAAAAAAGGGUUUUUUUAUCCAGAUCAGCUCGGAAAUACAGUUCAUUCAAUAACACUUCAAUCAAUAAAAGUGUUAGCAGAAGGAAUGUGGGAUUGGGCCUGAAAAAUAUCUGCCUUUUUUCCAGUAGCUGCUGGACACAUGCUGGUUUAAUGACUCUGUUUUGGCUCACAGAAGUACUUUCUCAGGUGAAAUAUUAAUAAACAAGUUUACAAGUAUAUAUAAAUCAUAAUCUUGCAAGUUUUUCAACACACUUCUGUGGCAGAGGAUUUUGCUACUUUCUCAUUCUUUGUUUAUUCCCAUAUCUUUCUUCAGUGGAUGUCUGUUCACCAUCAGAUUCAGAAAACUAGCCUAGAUUUACUUCAGAUUCUGCAAUACCUGGCUGCAUACGUAUGCCCUAAAUAAAUCCUAGAAUUAAACCAAUUAGAACAGAUUCUGUCAACAAAAUGCUUCUUUUCAAUACAGUAUUCUUUAUAUUAAUGAUCACAAAAGUAAAGUGAAAAAAAUGAAACAAAUCUAAACACCUGUAUACAAUGAGAUUUCAAAACCUUAACAAAAAAUUAGCCAUUUUAAAGUUUUGUAGAAGGGCAAUACUUCACUUCUUUGUUGUGCUCAAGAGGGUGGUAGAGAGGAAGGGAAAAUCUUUGUUUACUGAUAAAUAAAAACAUAUUGUUUAUAAAAACAUACUUUUUAUACUCUACAUAAUAAUCUUCAUAUAAUAUUUUCAUUGAAUGGUAUCCAACUAAUAUAGUAAACAAACAUAAUGACUGUAUGGACUUUUUUUUUACAUUUAAAAAUAAAUCAGUAGAAUGACAAUGGGUCAGCCUCAAGACUCAUUACUAAAUGCUGUUUGGUAAAAGGUACAGGAAAAUGGUGUACAUAUAAAGUAGAAUGUUUCCAUUGUUCAGGUAAAAAACUUUGUGGUGUUUUAGUGUAUUGGACCAAAAUGAGCGUUGUGGGUGAGGAGGAAUCUUUGAUAUGGCUUCUGUAAGAUCAUUAUCUUAAAAGGUAAAUACAGAAGUGAUAUAACUGG